UACGAAGGGUGCUAGCGUUGCUCGGAAUUACUGGGCGUAAAGCGCACGUAGGCGGCUCUUUAAGUCGGGGGUGAAAUCCUGGAGCUCAACUCCAGAACUGCCUUCGAUACUGAAGAGCUCGAGUCCGGGAGAGGUGAGUGGAACUGCGAGUGUAGAGGUGAAAUUCGUAGAUAUUCGCAAGAACACCAGUGGCGAAGGCGGCUCACUGGCCCGGUACUGACGCUGAGGUGCGAAAGCGUGGGGAGCAAACAGG
rnacentral:rRNA from 1 species